CAAGAUGUCGUUUACUUUGUCCUUGCUAACUUUUAACCACAAGUUUUAUUCUAUCCUAAAAAACUGUACGUCUGACUGCCCUGUUCCUCCAAGCACCUUUACACAGCAGUGGCAGCACUGCCACCUUUCAGUCUCCUUGAAGAGUAGAGAAGUGACACAUCACCUGAGGUGCUCUGCCCUUACAGUUGGCCCUCACGCUACUGUCUUCCAGUUACACUAUAGGUAACUGCCAAUUAACCUAUUAAUUCAUUUUACAAAUACAGAAUAAUUUCUUCACCUUCCUGUACUGCUGGAAAGCAUAUAGUGAAGUUGCACAAGAAUCUUGAAGAUAACUUUUGGUCAUAAAAAGUCAGCCACCAAAAUCAAAGUUUUAAACAGCAACACGAGUUGCAAUGAAAGAAAAAGCCUUCUCCAUUCUACAAGAAAACUUUUGGAGGGAAGGGAGGUCUGACAGCCUGGCAGACACCUGAGGGUUGAAGGAGCAGCAGACCACACUCCAGCCUCCCUUUCCCCAGACAAUACUCCAGCUAGUGGGAUGUUGUAGGGAAACAUCAUUUGUUCUCCUUGCCUUUGUCAUCUUUUUCUGCUUCCCUAAGCUAUGAGGGGACAGGAGACUGUCUUUGGGCAAACUGAAAGCUCAGACACUGUUUAAACAAGAAUCAAUAGGUAAGACCAGAAAAGCCAGAAGACUGCCAGAAAGAAAAAAAUGAACCAAAUCAAACUAUAAAACUCAACCCUGGGAGUAAACGGAGGGAGAGGGAAAAUCUUUUGAGACACACCUGACUAGGAGAGGACUUGGAGCUGUGACUGAGGGUGUGGGUGGCUCAUAACCUCCUAUUGUUCCUGUUGUACUCAGGGAAAAUUGGACAAGGCCACAAUGUUAUGUAAUGUCACUUUUAGCGUAUAAUCUUACUGCUUGGCGCAAUUUCACUGAUGGGGGAACACAACACAAGUCUUCAAAUAUAUUAUAGUGUACAGCACAGUCAAAGUGCUCUCAAAAACAGGAUCCCAAAGUACAUCUUUAAUUUUGUUUACAGUGGACUUUUUCUUCUGCACAGCUCUUUAGGACAUCUAUUACUAGUUAUUUCUAUUAUUUGAACUAAAGUAAUCCAAUAGAACAUAUGUGUGCCAUGUAUUGUACAAACACAGCAUGAAGUCAGUCUUCCCUUAAGAAAGCUCACAUUUGUUUAAAGCUAUAUUCUCCACACUUAGAGUGAUCUUUGAAUUGGAGAUUUUUUGGAAAAAAAAGUCCUCCAAAACAAUCUAAAAACAUUUUCACUGAAGACAUCCAGGCCCACAAACUCCAUGCUUGCUUCCAAAACAGCAGUAUUGUCUAUAUAGUACUACCAGACUCCACACAGGGCUGCCACCACUGCACUAUUGCUGUGCAACCCACCGAAAAUAAUACCAAUCUCCAUCCUGCCCUGCAGAACAUAUUUUUCUACCCCUCUGUUGGUCUGGUUCAUGCACCAGCCUCCUCCAGAGGCACAUGAGAGAGCAAAUAAUAAUCUUUUUAAACUCCCAUUUAGAGCCACCUAAGCGUGCUUCUGCUACAGGAACAAAAUUUGCCACCCCAGUCAUUACAGAGAUGCACACUUUUUUCCUCAUGGACAGUGAUGGCAAAGCUCACCAUCAAUGCUUUGGCAGAGCAUAUCCCAGGGGCACACUCAGAUGGUUUGGUUGGGCUUCUAGUGUGGCACAGUGGGGUCCUGGCAGAUGUUGGGCCAUGUGUGGGAAUGGCUCGUCUGUCCUCCUGUCCCCCUCCAGCACAGUGACUUCAGUGAAGGGACAACAGGAUCUGCCCCCAGAAAGUUUGCACUGUCUGGACAUUGGGGAGGUGGAGGGAUCCCCUCGUCAAGCAUUGCUCCCUCAGCCUUUCCUAUCCCAUGACAUCCUCUUCUUUUACUCUGCUUUCUCUCUGCAUGUAGCCCAGAGCCACCCUCAAAAUCAUUGGCAUUAUAAGAAACCACCCACAGUUCAAUACAUCCCUGUAAUACUGCAAAGCCCUUCACUACAGUGAUAACGUAGUCCGCUAUAGUGGACUUCUCUUCAUUAACUUCCUCUGUGUGUUCCCUGAAUGCCUUUUAUUUCCUCUGUUAUUUCUCUCUAGCUCUUUUUUUUUUUUUUUUUCUUACCCCAUCACAUCAUACCCCAUCACCAUUUCUGUGUUCCAGGACUUCUGUACAGUUCAAAAAUUGCCUACACAUAAUUCGUUUAGGUGAAGUAUUUUUAAGGUGCUAAAAUAAUUUAUUAGAAAUGUAGGGGAAAAUAAUCAAGAUAAGUUUACCAGCUGCUCAGGCUUCUCAUCCUUCCAAAUAAUUUCCAGUUAAAAUAUAUAAAUACACUUGGCAGGAAAUUUUCCUUUUAAAAAACUAAUAGCAUUUGGUAGCUUGAAAGUGUCUUUCUACAAGUUGAAGAGGAAGUGCACAUAUGCAAUGAAAUGAUUUUUUGUAAGAAUUAUUUUUGUGCCUAAGGAGAUAUUUACAGGAGUGAUUCUGUGGUCUGAAACCACUUAUAAGCUAUAGUUAAUAUGUAUUUUUGUGCAUGUGUGGAGAGUACUUGAAAAUAUCAACAGAUGAUUUGGAUACAGUGGAAUUUUUUCAGUGACAUUGUUCAUUGUUUCUUCUUCACACGCACACACACACACACACACACACAAAUCAUUAAAGUGUUUUCAAACUUGUCAUUAGAAUUGCUGUCGCUAGGAGCUGAGUGGAGCCAGUAUUCUUGCCCAGGUUUGUUUGGUCUGGCUGAGAGGACAUACAUCUGCGUUGGGCUUGUCUAGUGCAGACAGGGUACUGCAAUGGCUGGCCAACUUGAAGAAAGUCAUUGUAUGUUGUUUCCCUACGUUUAGUAUGAGCAAUGUGUUCCCUUUUGUGAUCUACUGGUGAGGAAGGUAAUGUAGGAGAUGAUGUGUUCUGAUUACUGUGAGACAUUGGCAUUGCAAUAAAUUUUCCCCAUGA